UACGUAGGGUGCGAGCGUUGUCCGGAAUUAUUGGGCGUAAAGAGCUUGUAGGCGGUUUGUCGCGUCUGCUGUGAAAAUCCGGGGCUCAACCCCGGACUUGCAGUGGGUACGGGCAGGCUAGAGUGUGGUAGGGGAGACUGGAAUUCCUGGUGUAGCGGUGGAAUGCGCAGAUAUCAGGAGGAACACCGGUGGCGAAGGCGGAUCUCUGGGCCAUUACUGACGCUGAGGAGCGAAAGCGUGGGGAGCGAACAGG
rnacentral:rRNA from 1 species